GACCCUUCAUUUUUCCUCUCUCCGCUCUCCUCCUCUCCUUUAUAAAAGUCGUUUCAUAUUCCAAAUUUAAUUUAUUUUUACUAAGUUUCAUUUUAUUUUCUCUUGUUUCCUUUUUCUCCUCUUGUAGUUCCAUUAUUUCUUCACAGAUUAAGGUUGUUGUUAUGAAAUUUUGUACAACAUAAAUGGUAAUCUAUUCCGAUCCUCUUCUACAACAAGGCGUCGUUGUCCUCAUCAUUUCUAGUUUAUUGUUGAUAUCUUCUAAGAUACGAAUAUAAUGGCUCCUGUCAAAAGAAAAAUUGAUACAACCAAAAUGUAGAAGAAGGCAAGGACUAAAAUUCCUAGGAAGAAGAAUGAAAAUACCGUUUUUUUAGAAGAACUUGGAUCUAAAGUUUUUUAUUCUUCUCAAGUAGAAGCAAAAUUUUAUCAAAAAAAGAAUAUGAAGAAAGAGAAAAAGAAAAAAUGAAUUUGUUGAUGAUGGAGAAAGAGCGGAAGAAGUUGAGGAGGAAGAUAAAGGAGAAAAUAGAAAAGUAGUUGAGGGAGAGGGAAAACAAACAGAACUGGAAGAAGAACAUGGAAAAAAAAAAUAGUAGUAGUUGAGGAAGAAGAAGGAAAAAAUAGAGAAUUAGUUGUGCAUGAAGAAGAAGAAGAACAAAAUGAAAUUGAGGAUGAUGAAUGGGAUCAAAAUUAUCAAUGCAAGCACAUUCCCUUUGUAUCUGCAGCCUAGUGAUACUGGUGAUAGCAUUAUGAGGUCAGAUAUGGGAAAGCCAUUCUACACCUUCUGGGCCAUCCUUAAGAGAAUUGGUUUAGAAGAUUUUUAGGGAUAGUUGUUUCAGUCAUUUUCUUGAUUUACCCGAGAAUAAUAAUGCACGUUUUCAAAUAACCAUGGUCUAUGAACUUCUACAAAGAAGGUUCAUUUUUCAAUAUCCCGAAAGAUGAGAAUUUGAUUAAUUAUUGUGGCAUGCUAGUCUUCUUUGGAAAAGAGAGUUUGCUAUAGUUUCAAAGUUAAAAUGUCGUCCUCUUUCUUAGCCCUUACCUGAAUACAUUGUCAAAAAAGAACCACGGAGAAGAAAGAAGGCGUAAAAGAAGAAGCAAGAGAAUAGUCACAAGUAACUGCGGAGCAAGACUUGAUGUCCCUUGUUGGAACAAGUUUUAAAAAUUCUGACUUAAUAUAUUUGUUGGAACACGAGGAUACACCAAGGGGAAUCAUUGUGCUUACUUUGGUUUACACAUAAUAUACUUUUAGGGAAAGAUCUCAACAACAACAUAGAGCUUAAAUGGGUGAAUUUCUGUCAGGAUAUUGAGACUUUCAACAACCAUCCUUAGAGUCAUGAGAGCUUUUGAAUAACUCUCAAAUACUUGUUUAAACCUUUAGAAGCAAAGACCAGUAACUUAUUUGUCUUUCCAUGAGACUUCAUGGCUUGGGCAGUUGAAGUCUUCCACAUUUAACCCAUCAAGUAAUUUAGAAGAACAUAUCUCCUCUCCAAGGAUAUUAAGAUGGCUGAGAUCAAACAAAACUACCAAAUAUGAGGAUAUUCUAGAUCUUUGUAACCUUCCUCGUGAUGCAGUCAGUUAUAAUUAUAUUACACUCAAAAUGUUGUUAUAGAUGACUCUUAUGUUGCUACAGAUUAUUCAUCUAUUGCGACAGGUGACACAAAUGUUGCUACAUAUGCCCAUCUGUGUCAACCUAUUACACAUAUGUAGCAACAUAUGAUACAUUUGUGACAGCAUAUCACCCAUCUGUAGCAACAUAUGCCACAUAUGUGGGAAUAUAUCUUCCACCUAUAGAAACAUAUGCCACAUCUGUGGAAAUAUAUCACCCAUCUGUAGCAACAUAUGACAUAUCUGUGGCAACAAAUGAUCUAAAUAUUCUUACAGAUGACUCAUUUCUAUAAUUUUAGGUUUUGCAUCUGUAACGACCCUCAAAAUGAAAUAGGAUGAAGAACGAGAAACUCACAUGAUUUUUAUGAGUUACUAACUUGUUAAGAUAAUGAAGACUAGCCUUAGAAGUUAGUUUUAAAGAGUUAAGUACUCAAACGUCAAGGGACGACCAAGACAUUCGGAAACUAGUCUUUUACGUGUUGGUGUGUUCUAGUAUGUUGUGCAUGUCUUUAGGUGUUGUUUGGAGUCUAAAACAAGUGAGGGUGACCCUAGUGUCUUAAUAAAAAUAUUUAGGGUAAAAACGUUCAGGUACGACUCCCCGAGGACCACCCUAAGUGUCCUUGAGGAGGACCUAAACCUUGCCUAAGGAAGCUGCCAUGACAACAUGCAGAACCAGAUUUGGAGUCCAGUCCGCGUAGCACGCCUAUAAAUCAACAUGACUCCGUGUCACGUGACUGUCACGAGGCUCACUACCUGAAAUAAUUAUUGAGGCGAAAUUGGGAGCUGCCUCCGCUACGCGCGGCCAUGUCUCAAGGAACUUGGGGUCUCAAGCUUUGGAGAACUAGGGGUCUCAGGCAUGGGUUCCUUGUCAAACGAUUUUCUAAGUCAUUCUAAUGAUGAAUGAAUGUUGAAUUACUGUUUUUAUGAUAAUUUCCUAAGGAAUUUAUUGAAGAAACCAUGAUUUCCUAUUCUUUAAAUUUAGCCUAUAAUGUGGGCCUAGUGAUCUUAAUUAGAUGUUAAUUGAAUUGUGAUUAGAUUGUGAUGUAUUGUCUAAUGCUAUUGCUAUCUAUAUCAAUUAAUUGUGAAUUGUUGAGAA